UGGGCCUUCUGGUUUUUCAGGUUUAGGAGGACGAGGUUUCUCCUCAUCUCCCUCCUGGGGUGGGCCAUGUGGUUUUCCAGGUUUAGGAGGGCGAGGAUGAUGUGGUGGUUUCUCUGGUGGUUCUUCUUCUCCAUCGCCAUCCUCCUCAUCUCCAGCUUCUUCCCCUUCCUCAUCUUUCUGAUGCUGUUGACCUUUGCCCAGGCUUUUUUGCUCUUCCUCU